GACGAACGCUGGCGGCGUGCUUAACACAUGCAAGUCGAGCGGUAAGGCCUUUCGGGGUACACGAGCGGCGAACGGGUGAGUAACACGUGGGUGAUCUGCCCUGCACUUCGGGAUAAGCCUGGGAAACUGGGUCUAAUACCGGAUAUGACCUCCUAUCGUAUGGUGGGUGGUGGAAAGAUUUAUCGGUGCAGGAUGGGCCCGCGGCCUAUCAGCUUGUUGGUGGGGUAAUGGCCUACCAAGGCGACGACGGGUAGCCGACCUGAGAGGGUGACCGGCCACACUGGGACUGAAACACGGCCCAGACUCCUACGGGAGGCAGCAGUGGGGAAUAUUGCACAAUGGGCGAAAGCCUGAUGCAGCGACGCCGCGUGAGGGAUGACGGCCUUCGGGUUGUAAACCUCUUUCAGCAGGGACGAAGCGCAAGUGACGGUACCUGCAGAAGAAGCACCGGCUAACUACGUG
rnacentral:rRNA from 1 species